ensembl:lncRNA
CAAUGGUCCUUGCGAGUCCCGUCCAAUACAGGACAUUUUGUGAUUUUACAGUCUUGUUGCUUUCCUCCAACAGGAAUUUUAAGCACUCAUACAUACCUCAGUCAUCCGACACCACUUAGUUCACAGCUCUGAGGUUGCUUGUUUAAGUCAAAGCUUCAGGAGAUCACCAUAUUUUCAGGACCAGUAAUUUCUGUCUCAAGCUCACUGUCUGGUGCCGAGAUCCAUAGGAGAUAUCACCAACAUGAACUGGGCCAGAGAUCCACAUGCCAGAGUCUCAGCAGCUCUUGGAAAUGUCCGUGGAGGAUUGUUUCCCUGUGCCCACGAUGACUCUCAGAUGGAUGUCAGUCUGUUUGUGUGAGUUUGACCAUGGUAAAAGUACUUCCUAAAUUCAGCACGGGUGACUCUGGAACUGCGUGGUCCUACAGUGACAUUUCUGCCUGGAUUUCUGAUGAUCUCUGAAUCAGUGUGCAACUCCUCAAUAUUUCUGCAUAUUGAAGGCUUUGAUCUGGCACAUCCAA